rnacentral:sRNA from 1 species
CAAUAGCCUCGAUUGCAGCGACAUCCUUUUUCUGAAUAGGAUUGGUAAAAAGCAAGGGCGAAAAAGAUACAGCGGAAAGCGAGAUUAAGC